rnacentral:rRNA from 1 species
GUGGGGAAUCUUCCACAAUGGACGAAAGUCUGAUGGAGCAACGCCGCGUGAGUGAAGAAGGGUUUCGGCUCGUAAAGCUCUGUUGUCGGGGACGAAUGUGCAGUAUUUGAAUAAAGUACUGUAAUGACGGUACCUGACGAGGAAGCCACGGCUAACUACGUGCCAGCAGCCGCGGUAAUACGUAGGUGGCAAGCGUUGUCCGGAAUUAUUGGGCGUAAAGGGAGCGCCGGCGGGAAGGUAAGUCGGUCUUAAAAGUGCGGGGCUCAACCCCGUGAUGGGAUCGAAACUAUCUUUCUUGAGUGCAGGAGAGGAAAGUGGAAUUCCUAGUGUAGCGGUGAAAUGCGUAGAUAUUAGGAGGAACACCAGUGGCGAAGGCGACUUUCUGGACUGUAACUGACGCUGAGGCUCGAAAGCCAGGGGAGCGAACGGGAUUAGAAACCCGGGUAGUCC